rnacentral:rRNA from 1 species
AUUGAACGCUGGCGGCAGGCCUAACACAUGCAAGUCGAACGGUAGCAGGAAGAAGCUUGCUUCUUUGCUGACGAGUGGCGGACGGGUGAGUAAUGUCUGGGAAACUGCCUGAUGGAGGGGGAUAACUACUGGAAACGGUAGCUAAUACCGCAUAACGUCGCAAGACCAAAGAGGGGGACCUUCGGGCCUCUUGCCAUCGGAUGUGCCCCGAUGGGAUUAGCUAGUAGGUGGGGUAACGGCUCACCUAGGCGACGAUCCCUAGCUGGUCUGAGAGGAUGACCAGCCACACUGGAACUGAGACACGGUCCAGACUCCUACGGGAGGCAGCAGUGGGGAAUAUUGCACAAUGGGCGCAAGCCUGAUGCAGCCAUGCCGCGUGUAUGAAGAAGGCCUUCGGGUUGUAAAGUACUUUCAGCGGGGAGGAAGGGAGUAAAGUUAAUACCUUUGCUCAUUGACGUUACCCGCAGAAGAAGCACCGGCUAACUCCGUG